UUCUACAAUUGCCGUUGUAGUACAAGUUAACCUGUCGAGGUAGAACGUUUCAGACUUUAGUGAGGCAUGAAACGAUUCAAUGCAGGCAUUAUCAGCGG
rnacentral:antisense_RNA from 1 species